GGAGCGACGCCGCGCGCGCGAUGAAGGCCCUCGGGUUGUAAAGCGCUGUCAGGGGGAAACAAACACUGAGUGAUCCCCAGAGGAAGCACGGGCUAAGUUCGUGCCAGCAGCCGCGGUAAGACGAACCGUGCGAAUGUUGUUCGGAAUCACUGGGCUUAAAGGGCGCGUAGGCGGUCGGGCAAGUCAGCGGUGAAAUCCUCCGGCUCAACCGGAGAAGUGCCCCUGAUACUGCCCGGCUCGAGGGAGGUAGGGGCAGAUGGAACUUCCAGUGGAGCGGUGAAAUGUGUUGAUAUUGGAAGGAACGCCGGUGGCGAAAGCGAUCUGCUGGACCUCUUCUGACGCUGAGGCGCGAAAGCCAGGGUAGCAAACGGGAUUAGAUACCCCGGUAGUCCUGGCCCUAAACGAUGGGCACUGAGUAGUGGGCUUGCAUGGGCUCACUGCUGAAGCAAAAGUGGUAAGUGCCCCGCCUGGGGAGUAUGGUCGCAAGGCUGAAACUCAAGGGAAUUGACGGGGGCUCACACAAGCGGUGGAGCAUGUGGCUUAAUUCGAGGCUACGCGAAGAACCUUAUCCUGGUCUUGACAUGCUUGGGAAUACCCUGGAAACAGGGUAGUGCACUUCGGUGAGCCCUUGCACAGGUGCUGCAUGGCUGUCGUCAGCUCGUGUCGUGAGAUGUCGGGUUAAGUCCCUUAACGAGCGAAACCCUUGUCCCUAGUUGCCAG
rnacentral:rRNA from 1 species